AGCGAACGCUGGCGGCAGGCCUAACACAUGCAAGUCGAACGGAUCCUUCGGGAUUAGUGGCGGACGGGUGAGUAACACGUGGGAACGUGCCCUUUGGUUCGGAACAACUCAGGGAAACUUGAGCUAAUACCGGAUGUGCCCUUCGGGGGAAAGAUGUUAUCGCCAUUGGAGCGGCCCGCGUCUGAUUAGCUAGUUGGUGGGGUAAAGGCCCAACAAGGAGACGAUCAGUAGCUGGUCUGAGAGGGUGAUCAGCCACAUUGGGGCUAAGACACGGCCCAAACUCCUACGGGAGGCAGCAGUGGGGAAUCUUGCGCAAUGGGCGAAAGCCUGACGCAGCCAUGCCGCGUGAAUGAUGAAGGUCUUAGGAUUGUAAAAUUCUUUCACCGGGGACGAUAAUGACGGUACCCGGAGAAGAAGCCCCGGCUAACUUCGUGCCAGCCGCCGCAGUAA
rnacentral:rRNA from 1 species